GACGAACGCUGGCGGCGUGCUUAACACAUGCAAGUCGAACGGUAAGGCCCUUCGGGGUACACGAGUGGCGAACGGGUGAGUAACACGUGAGUGAUCUGCCCUGCACUUCGGGAUAAGCCUGGGAAACUGGGUCUAAUACCGGAUAGGACCACUGCCUACAUGGGUGGUGGUGGAAAGCUUUUGCGGUGUGGGAUGGGCCCGCGGCCUAUCAGCUUGUUGGUGGGGUGAUGGCCUACCAAGGCGACGACGGGUAGCCGGCCUGAGAGGGUGACCGGCCACACUGGGACUGAGAUACGGCCCAGACUCCUACGGGAGGCAGCAGUGGGGAAUAUUGCACAAUGGGCGCAAGCCUGAUGCAGCGACGCCGCGUGAGGGAUGACGGCCUUCGGGUUGUAAACCUCUUUCAGCACCGACGAAGCGCAAGUGACGGUAGGUGCAGAAGAAGGACCGGCCAACUACGUGCCAGCAGCCGCAGUAA
rnacentral:rRNA from 1 species